GUUAAUUACACAAAAUUGACUCUAAUUAAUCAUUUUCUUCUUCACAUAAACUGAUACACAAAACAAAGAAACACUGAAAAUGUACACCACAAGACCAUUAUCACACUACAAAAGUUCGCCGGAAUCUCUGUCAAUACCACCGGAAGGUCCAAAUUCCGGUUACUUAGUAAUUCGCGAUGAAAAAUCCAUAAUAACCUGUAAUUUAGGGACGUGUACGGAUCCAUGUAUCAAUAAUCUUCCAUUUCCUCAGAAUAUGCGGCUUAUUGUUAAAUAUCAUAUGGAUGUUGGAGAUCCAUUAAGCAGCUAUACCAAUUAUGAUGAGGUAUGCUUGAUUCCUGUCAUUAAUCAGCCACUCUCAUGUAAUCGAUAUUAUGCAAUCAAAGCUGAUGGGAAGAAGAACAAAGGGAAAGCUUACACAAGCUCUAAAGAACAAGAUAAACCAACAUGUUGUUUCUGCUUCAAAUACAUCCAAGAUAUAAAACCAAGACCCUUUGAUCCAAAUGACAUAUAUCAGCAAUUCGAGUUUUCUGUAACAAAAACAAGCCUCAACAACAAUAAUAACAACAACAUUAUGCUCUUAGCUAAAUCUGUAGCUUCUGAUAGUCACCCACCAAGCUUCUUACGCGGACAAGGAUGGAAGAUGAAUGUCUUUCCUUCUAACUUCACCAUUGGAGAAGCUCGAGGUGUUAACUCUUCUCUUCGCUCUCAUCUUCCUGACUUCAAUUUCGCAUUACAUGAUCAAGAAUGUUCGAAGUCUGUGAUUGUUGGUAAGUGGUACUGUCCUUUUAUGUUCAUCAAAGAAGGAAAGGUAACAGAAAAGGAACAGUUGGAGAAGUCUAUGUUUUACGAGAUGACACUUGAACAACGUUGGGAGCUGGUUUUUGGUGUGGAGAGGAACUGCAAUCAAGGGAAGGUAGUGACCGUCGACGUGGAUGUUCUAACCGAGACUGUAAAACUUGCAGGUAGGGGUUAGCACAACAAGUUAUCCUGUCAAACUUUAAGGAACCAGACCUUGUUGCAACAAGUUUCUGAAAAUGGGAACCAGAAUCGAAACCUGUUGCAACAGGUCCCUGAAAAUGGGAACCAGAACCGGAAUCGGAACCUGUUGCAACACGUUCCUAAAAAUGAGAACCGGAACUGAUCGGUGUUGUUGCAACAGGUUCCGGUUCAUGGUAUCCUGACAUUUUAAAAUUUUAAAUAAACUAUUAUAAAUUUAUUAUAGAAAAAUAUUUUAGAAAAAAAAAACUAAAUUAUGGUUUGGGCUUUAAUUAUUUUAUAGUUUGGGCUUAACUAGUAAUCCUAUUUUUAUAUCUUCCGAAAAUUAGCUUGGAUUGUUAUAUUUUAGGCAUAAGAAACUAUUUUUAUAUGUUUUUCAUUCGUGAUUUUGAGUAUUGCAUAUUAGAAUUGUUGUGUACCCAACUGGGUACCUCACUACAAGAAAGCGCUUGAUUACCGACUAAAAUUACCGACCGCCACAAAAGUGGUUGGUAAAACUGAAUUUAUCGACCAAAAUUAAAGCAGUCGGCAAUUUACCGACCGAUGAGAAAGCGGUCGUUACUUUUUAAAUUUACCGACUGUAUUUUUAGCAGUCGAUAAAUUAGCGACUGCUUUUCCAUGCGUUCCGACUAACUAAUAGUCAGUAAAAAUCCUAUUAGUUCAAAAAAAUAUUUAAAAUUUUACCAACCGCUUAUUUAAUUAAUCCAACCGAUUUAGCGGUCGUUAAAAUUUAAAAAAAAAAUUAUAGCAGCUACGACCAACUAAACUCCUCAUUGUACAUUCUAGAAAGAAAAAAAAGGGGUGAAGUUCUUUCUCGCGAAUUGGGGUAAAGGGGUGAAGCCAACUGACCGGCGCCGCCAGCCCCACCCCCAUCCCCACCGCCGCCAGCCCCAACCCACCGCCGCUGUCACUCUUCCUCGUGAGUCGUGGGCCACCGAUUUGGGCGAAGCCAACAACCCUCGCCGAAGCCGCCAGCCCCACCCCCACGCCCACCGCCGCCAGCCAUACCCCACCGCCGCUAUCACUCUUUCUCGCCAGCCCUACCCUACACCCAAUUAACCAGGUAAUCUUUGUUCCUUUUGAUUUAUUGAUUUUGGUUCAAUGUGUUCAAACCCUAACUUUUUAGAAUCUGGUCUAUUUGUAGAUUUAUGGCUUUGGGUUUUUUGUAUAAUUUGAUUAUUUGUAAAAAGCUUAGAAUAAAGAUAGAUAGGUAGAGCGGAAUGUUAUAAUGAACUUGGGUUUUCGCUUUGUAGUUUGUGGUGAUUUCUAUAAUGGUGACUUAAUUUCACUAACAAAGCUGCUGAAUUUGGUCUAAAAUGUAAGCUAAGUGUUAGAAUUGUGCAAAAAAAUGUAAGCUGAGUGCGCAAAAACUAGAGGCGAGAUUGUCUAAUCUUCCAGAAAAUAUAAACUCAUUGUUCAUGCCCCCUAGACAACUAGGUUGAGUAUCACAAACAUUAAGCUCAAGAGUCACUAUGUCAGCAAUAGCACAAUCCAGCUCUUCUGAAAGAACCUGCAAAAUAAUAUUUAAGAAAAAUUCUAAUAGAAACAAGGAGUGAAAAUGUGUCCAGUGCAUAUCUAAAUGGGCAGUGAUGCACGUGCAAGUUGCUCAAACUUGGGUGUUGGGCACGGAUCAAUUAUCGUGAGAAUAGGACAGCCGUAUUAUCAAAAUUUUGGGAGUUAGGUAAGGUUUGCUUUCAUAUUAUUUGAUGUGACCAAGAGUCCAAGUAUCAAAGUCUCCCAGCAAAUCCAGGGGUUUAGAGGGACAUGCUUAUGGCAGCAUAUGAGUAGGGCCCUAUUCCAGACACCCUUAAAUACAUGGUAAUGUCCACAACAACAAUGCAAGUGCUCAAAUCAGUAAUUACCUUCAGAAGCUGUGGAUGAUGCCAAGCCUUAGAAGAUCUUGUAGCACCCUUUUCGUUGGAUUCUGUAAGCUCUUCUUCACAUCUUGUUGACAGCAAUGGAACUAGGUGUGUUUCUAGAUUAGGUUUAAAACCAUCCUGGUUCACUGUUCUACUAAAUAAAAGAGGCACUACAAGAAAGCGCCUUAUUACCGACCAAAAUUACCGACCGCCACGUGUUGUUUGUUGUUUGUUAUUAGAUGUCAUAUCGAGGAGAAAAUUCAACCAUCCGCAAUCGUUUAGGUGCACGUGGUGGUCGUGAAGGUGGCCUUGGAGGUGGCCAUGGAAGUGGCCAUGGAGGUGGUCGUGGAGGUGGCCUUGGAGCUGGUCCACGGGUCACCCAACACACACAUGAUACCUUUGAUGAUGAUGAAACUCAAGGUCCAGACUCUCAAGAGUUGGUUCCUGAUUCACAAGAAUAUGAAGAAUCUGAGAAUACUGGAGUGAUUUGGAUGGCACCGGGUGAACUUUGGUUUGAUCAUAGUUCCAUUUCCCGGGAUAUUACUAACGUCAUCCAGCAAUAUUUCAAGAGUCCUUGGACGUGUUACACCCAAGUUGACAAGGAUACAAAAGAGCAUUGGUUCACCUUGUUCAAGAGAACCUAUAAAUGGUUGCCUGAGUUUGAUCACCUUGCUGUGCAUGAUUACCAUGCAAAUGCAUUCAAACGAGUCAGGGACAUGCAUUACCAGGUCACAAAAAGAAUGAGUGGGAGGAAGCCAGUUUGGAUGCCUGAUGAAGUGCAUGCAGAAAUGAUGAAGUUUGUG